GGACAUCAAAGACAAUUUAUUUGCUUAGCGGGUGGAGUGGUGGGGCAUCCGAUUACCUCAAGGUUGAAAUAACCACUAAUAGUUAUGCUUCUGUUGCUAUGCUGAGCCAAAGAGAAUGCUUUGAAGAAGCAGAUAUGUAUGAUAUUAAGUUGACUGCAGUCCAGGGAUCUUUCAGAUUACUUUUUUAGAAUAAAGCAAUUUUUUAGAGGUGCAACGAGCUAUUUGGCGUGGAGUCAAGCUCCUAAACAAGCCCCUGUAGUCUCAGAUGAAGAAUAUAGUUUGCCUGUUAGCUCUGCAUCUGGCUUGUCUUACUUCACUGUUUUGACUAUAUGUACCUGCUCUAUUCCACUUCAACCUUUCUUUCAGAUGACAUGAGAAGUUCCUCUUCCACCUUAGUAAGCUCAGCUUUUGGAAAUCUGAGAGAAGAUUGUUGCAUAUAGCACCUCAGUGCUUCUCUCAGGGUGUUUAGGAAAUGCCUCCCACUGUAUAAAGGGUUCUUCAAGAAAGAUGAGGAGAGACUCUUUAUCAGGUGAUGUAGUGAUAGGACAAGGCAUAACACUUUAAACUAAAAGGGAUUAGAUGUUAGGAAGAAAAUCUUAUCUCAGAAUGGCGAGGCACUGGCACAGACUGCCCAGAGAAGCUAUGGAUGCCCCAUCCCUGGAGGUGGUCAAAACCAUUUGGAUGGGGUUCUGGGCAGCCUGAACUGGGGGUUGGCAGCCCUGCCUAUGUCUGGGGUGUUGGAACCGAGUGGUCUUCAAGAUGUUUUCCAACCCAAGAUACUCUAUGAUCCUAUGCUAUCUGAAGAUGACACUGCAGAACUAAAAACCUUGAGUGAGGAAUCAAAAUGCCUCAGAUGUCUUUUGGCAAAGCCAGGGCAGCUACAAAGAGCUCACUGCAGAUAAAAUGGAUGAAAUAAAAGUUGUCAGGAGCCCCUUAAGGUCAGUAAAUUAUGAGGGAUAUUGUCAGAGUUUGAAGACCAGAUCUCUAUUUGGCAGAGUUUAUCACAUGCAACAUUCUGAAAAUGUCUUUUAACUUUUCUGUUGUACUAAUUACGAUCAACUUCCAUAUUUCCUUUAUGAUCCACUAGGAUUUAGGUGCUUAAAGUAAUAUUUCUGCUUUACCUGAUAAUGACUGUACAGCCUCCUCAGAUUAUCGAAUUGUCUUGUAUUCUCUAGAUCAGACAAGUUUUAUUAGUUCUGUGGGGUUUAUUUCCUUUGCUUUCACAUGCCAGAUCCAAAGAUUCUAUAUAUUUACAGUUAAUCCUCUGUGGCUUUAGAUUAAAAGUUUUUAGUGUCUCAGAGGUAUUUGAAGAAAACUACUGCUCCUUAUCUAUCCUAAUAGGAUGGAAAACACUUUAAACCCUGAAAGCUUGACCUUGCAAGUCAUUAGGCAAUGCACCACCCAGAAUGAUAUAGCCCACAACUGGUUUCCUUCAGAAAUAAACAAUCACUCACAUCUUUAUAAUUAAUAAUACGGUGCUGUCUCCUACUGACAUUUUUACUGGAGUGAUUAUAAUUUGAACAUGAUUUGUAUGGACUGAUAAUUUUUUUUUUAUCUCAAGGUCUUUGUUCAGCUCUCUUUACAGCAGUGCUAUCUAUUAGCUACUGUAAAAUCCCAUUUCAAUAUCCUUUGUGCACUGUCUUGCCCAGUUAUUAUAAAAUACAGAUAGAAAAGGAGAUUGACUGCUGAAGUUUAAAGGUUAAAUGCUAACAGGUCUUAACUGCUUCACCCAUUAUCUGUCCCAGUAUUCCACGCUGCCUCAUUUCCCUGCAGUAACAAGGAGGCAGGGUCUGGUAACCUCGUAAUGCUGUCUGUGUGGCUCCUCAGUCUCUAGAACAGUUCAGCACUGAAGUCUUGGUGGAGCUAUUAAAAUAGCAUACCUUCAGCUAUGAAAGCAGAGCCCAGACACAUACUCAAAACAUGUUCAGCCUCAAAGCAGGUUCAUCUUGCAAGUCAAGGAUGACAACUUCUAGAACCAUCCAUCUGUUUUCAGGCAUCAGAGCCUAUAUUUCUCCUACUUAGCUCCAGAUAUUUAACUGAGGCAUUUAAUUGUGAGUGUGGUUACAAUUUGUGCUCAUCACAGGAAGACCAAUACUUGAAUUAUUCUCUAGAUAUAUUUAUACCAUAAUAUUGCUUAUUGUACAGAAAGCCUAAAGCAACAUUUAGAAGCCUUCAAUAGGUACCUGAAGUUUUGAGAGAUGAAUGCCAGCUCAACAGAGAAGCAGCUGUGGGAUUCAUGGAGCUGGAACACAGAUGAUAUUUUCACAUCCCCACUCUGCUCAUUUAGACCCAGCACUUGAUCAUGUGCCCAACGCUACCACCACUAGCAAGACGUUUUCCAGAAUGGCCCAGAUUGGUACAUGCUCAGUAUCUGCUCCUCUGGCUUCUCAGUCAUUUAUCUGUGCACUGGAUCUGGAGGAAAUGAGCCCUGCAUGAAAUCUGGAGAGUAGAACAUUAAAUGGUAAGUUGGGUUAUGCAGGUUCAAGACCCUUUAUUUGCAAAAAUGUAGAUCAGAUCUCUGUUUACAGCUUUACAAGAUUGCAGGAUGGAUGCUUCUCCCUUCACAGGACAAGUCAAGGUGGCAGGAACUCAAUUCCAGAAAAGAAAAGAUAUAUAUAAUAUAUAUUUUUAUUAUUAUUAUUAUUAUUAUUUUAUUUUUUGCUUUAGACACCAGAUCAGAUAAAAGUACCUGGCUUGCAUCCAAAAGCUCCAGCUACCAGCACUCAUUCCUGUCCUGGAAGUGUAUGUAGACCCUAAAGUAAUUUAGGAGCUGCUGACUUUACUAUGCAGUAGAAGCAUCUAAUAAGUGUUAAAAGCCUGAACCAAACACCUUGGUCACAUAUCCUCUUUUGUCUCUGUGAAGAGUUUACUUCUGUGUGCAUUUCUCCACACCUUACACACAAAAUCACACCCCAGACAUUGCUGCCCCAUUACUUUGUGGAUAUAGCUAUUCAUGUAAUUACUCUCUAACCCAAACACUCAAAACAACAUAAGCCAGGAUAUAGCUCUACAGAUUGAAGUGUGUAAACUAACCCGAGCAAGUUCAGAUUAUUUGGUCUGGGCAGCUAUUAGAUACCAGCUAUGCCAAUAGGUGAAUGGUAGUGCCUCUGAAGGCACAGAAGGAAAGGCAAGUGAUGAGCUGGAGGCAAGACAGAGCUGGCAGUCUCUCAAGUUAGCAGCAGACGGACACAGCAUCUUUCCCCGCUGAAGUCAUGUUUGUGGCCUUGUCCUGCAGCUCUGGGGGUUACAGUGCUUGACUUCAAAGCAUUAUCUUUAAAUGAAUAUGAAUAAUUACUUGCUACAAAUACAAAACUGUAACUGAGACAAAAAGUGUCAAAAUCAGGAACUUCUGAAUGUUCUGUAACUGUAUCUAGCUGUGCCUAGGGAGUCCCUAGGGACUAUAAUUACUCUAUAAAACAAGUUAACACCUGCUCCUCACACUUUUCUUAAUUAAGAUUCAGUAGAGAUGCGAGUCAUUUUAACGAGUGAUCUGUGGCUCCACAGGAGCCAGUCUGGAGCAGAGGCUGUCUCAACAACACAGCGCAGCUUGUGCAAGGCAAUUACUGCACUUCCUAUAGGGUAUGCCACCUUCGAUUCUGCUCCGGCUUGGGCAAUUGAGAUUUUACCUGGGGUUUUCUGAGGGGCAGAGUAUCAACUGUUUAGUCCUUAUUUGUUCCCCAGGUUCACAGCCGUUUCUAGUUUAGACUGAUGUCCUCUGGAAAAAGUUGCAUUUUGACAGAGCAAUGGUCACUUCAGUAAUGUUAGUGCUUGCCUAUGCCUUGCUCAUUAUCAUGGCUGGGACAAAGGCAGGGGCAUGGGCAUGUAAAUCUUCAUCCGUAAUAGAAAAACAGCCCCCAUUCCCCUGAGCACACACUGACUCAGGUGCUUUCUGGUUCUACCAAUUGCACUGACCUGUUUAGAAGGUACCAGAACUCCUACACCUGCUGGGAGACAGUCAGUAAGGUAGCAGAUCCAAACGUUCCAAAAGCAAGUGACUAAGAACCGUAAGCCAGCUGAGAUGGUACCUACACAUGCAACAAGAAAUAUCUGUGUCCUGAAGAGGUGCACCCUGCUGCAAGUUUGAUGUGAUCUCUUCCACUUUGAAAUGGAAGAUUUGGCCUUGGUCUCUCCCACCAUUUCCCCCGUAACCAGGUCUGUGCCACCUGCUGGGGCCUGGGGAAGCUACAGUGAUCCUGCCCCUUUCCUGGCCACACAUUUUCUGGGAUGUGUGUAAAUGAAAACACCUUACUAAAUAUUUGUUGUUUCGUUCUAGGAAACCAAAAUGGUGCUGUUGGCUGUACUGGGCAAGGCCUUUCUGGACGGAGAACAGAAAAUACAGAAUCAGCUAUAUUUUUGGCUGGCAUGUGAUGAUAUCCUGGGGAGACUGAUGGGUAGAUAGAGAAGUGCAUAUAUCUUUGCUCUUAUUUACACCAAGGUAAGUCAAAAAUGUGUAAAAAGCACUGGAAAACACAAGAUGAGGUAAAGACUUUGAGGACACCUUCUAGAGCAUAGGCUCAUUAUUUUGCAUGCUUUUUUUGCUAUUUGGGCCAUGUCAUCUUUAUGUUUGUCCACGAACAAAUGGACCCUCUUGCCACCCUUGCAGAUGACACUGUGCAGACUGCAAUCAGCUAAAGAAGGCCUACACUCUACUGAACCAUGGAUAAUAGGAAAUCCAACAUUAGGAAGAAAUUCUCAGUAAUUAUACGUAGCUUACAUUCAAAUUUCAUUGUUCAAAAGUAGUUCUAUUUGCUUCUGUAGAUGCAACCAUAGAUGUAAAAAAAUAUAACAACUGUCAUGAAGCACCUAUUAGGCUCUCAAACACUGAAGUACAAAGCACAGCUGGGGAAGGUUGAUGAGAGACUAAAUUCUACUGUGACUGCUAAGGAUACUUGGGACAUAAAUUAGAUUAAUAUUUACACAGAGUAGAGUUAAAGGGCUUGAUGUUCUUGCCUGUUGUCUUUCACUGGCUAAAAAGAAGGCAGUUCUGAACCAUGAGAUAACUGAAUUUUUUCAGUAAUAAGAGUUGAAAGCAUUUGCUGUGAGCAUAUUGAAACUAUAAAAAUAUGUCUAAUUUCUAGACAGAAGUCAUUAACUUGGUGUUAGGGUUGUAAAUAAAUUGUACAUUUAAGAGGGAAACUCAAUACUGUGUGCACUAUUAAAAACAGAUCUUUAUGACACCGCAGCACUUCAUCUUACAGCUGUGUUUGUGAGUUCCUUUACGCUUCAUCUGGGGAAUCUUUUCUAUACCACAGCAACUGCAGGGGAUGAGAGUUCCCAGCCCUCUGGCUGAAGCCCAGUCUCUGCAGGAUGAGAGAGGGCAGGCAGAGGUUGCCAGGGGCCAGGAUUGACCCACACAUUGCUAGAGCUGAGGCUCCUCUGACAGGUCAUCUGGUGUUUGUGGGGACCUGGGAUCACCUGUACCCUACAGGGCAGCACGGGGACACCUACCUGGCACUCGUCUCUACCAGGGAGGACAGUCCCCAGAGUCCUGAAUGGGGCUGGGUGGCAAGCACCUUGCCCUGCUGUUCGAGAUGAAUCCCAAGGCAUGUUGCAGCUCUUCAACCACUCAAUAUCUCAGAAGGUGAGAUUUAAAGUUUUGAAAUAAUUAUUAGCGCAAUCAGAAAGUACCAGAGAAAAAGGCGUAAAAACACAAAACAACCCCAAAGAACCCAACCUAUCCCCACCACCUUUUAUCCCCACCAGCCUUACAUUUUGAAGGUCUAUGUCUGUGCUAUUACAAGGUUGCUGAGAUGUCAGACCUCAGCUCUUUGAUAACUUGCCAGUUCGGGAAAGUUCAAUAAGCUGAGGGCAGCCUAAACCCUGUAGACUUGGGCAUUCUGCCUGUGGCUACACACAUCUUAAACCACAACCGCUGUGCCCUAUGCAACAGCGUAUAAAUACCACAGCUGCGGCGAUAAAAUAAGUAUGAAGUUUCCAAAGCUGAAAGAUGCUCUAUGAUAAUGGUGCUAAAGAUUUAAGGGGUUUCAAAUACCCCUCUGCACUUUCCAGAAAAAAAAAAAAAGCAUGUUAGAAAGCAAGAUAGAGUGGAUUGAUGACAAGAUGGAGCAAGAUGGAGUAAAAAGGUGGCUCAGGAAACAGUUAACAUGAUACGUUUUGGAGGAGGACACAAUGCACAGAGAUGUUGUAUUAUUGUGAUGCAAAACCAAUGCCUCAGGGUGCUCUGCUCACGCUUCAUAAAACAGUUGUGUGCCUGAAGAGCGUGUGCCAUGUGAUGCCUGGAAAAAGAUGUGACAAAUGUAAAGAAGAAUGGAUGACAGAAAGGAUUACAUAUCCCAGGGUCUGACACAAGGGUUCCCGGAAAUGUCCACAGGAAGAGAAAAUGUAACUGGGAAGUGGCACAGUAGAGAUGCUCGAGAUCCUGAAUGUCAUGGCGCAUAUUUCUCAGGAUGAGAACGAUGAAAGAGAAAGUUCAAAACUCAGAAAAUUGUCUGUCUCUUGCACAUAUACACAAAACAAGGGUUUUUUUUUUAACAAGUUAGAUUUUCCAAGGUCUCACUGAAGCUAGAGAUUUAGUAAAGUUUGGAGAAAGAGCUUAUGUUUCUACAGACAGUGAAACAUUCAGACUUUCCACAGCUAACUCAAGGAAAACAUUAGGAAAU
ensembl:lncRNA